UAUUUCAGACCCUAUUAAGAUAGAUGGACGACAUGCGAUCUACAAAAGAGCUGUAGGAGAACUAGGAGCGAUAAAGAUAAUGCCCGUCCCAGAAGAUGGAGGUACAGGCUUUGGUCUUAGUGCUAUUGAUCCAGACGAAUCCAACGAAGAUAAAGAACAAUAAAACUU